CUUACCGCCGGAAGGCGAGAGUCCGCGGGAAAAGCGGUCUUGUUAGGUGAUCACUGUGGUUUGGGGCUCAGGCGGUCUCCUCAGGAGUAACCGCGGGCCUGAGCCACGGUCACGCCACUGUCCUUCGUUUCCUUUAGCCUUCUCGCUCACCAAAAGAUUUUCCCGUCCAGUUAUAAAGUGCAAGUUGUUUCCCAAAGGGAUUACUCUUUGGAUCAACACCUGUAGGAAAUGAGCUGCACUGCAUCCCAGUGAAGACCUCAGCCAACCCCACAGUGCAAUGAAUUCAUCUCAGAGUAAGAAUCAUACUUCCACAUUAAUGGAUUUCCUUGAGCCACAUUUGCUGAGAUGGAGCAGUAGCAACCAGAUGUACCUUUCUCAGCUGAAACAACUAAAAAGACAAGACAAAAUAGAUGAAAGAAUGGUUCUUGAGACAUUGGACACCACACAGUGAAGAACAGCGAUCCCUGGGAGAGGAGAAACAAGGCAAGCCCUUUGAUUAUCUCACCUUACCACGUUAAGAGAGUUUCCAGUCUGCAGCACAGGGUGAGGAACAUAGGUGGAACCCAGCAGAUACCCUGAGCUGACAGAAAGGUGAGUCUGGGGAAACCAAGGCAGCUAGAAUUUGCAGGACAGAGUACCAGAGAAGCAACCUCUGGAGAUCUUCACAGGGUCCUCAUUAAGCAUGCCUGUUAGCAAACUACUUCAGGUUGGGAAAGAACCAGCUCAAAAGAGGGAACAGCACCUGAUGCACAUACAGGGUGGGGAAAAGUUCGUGGAACAUUUGAGCAGAGAUCUCAGAAGUGUCCUUCUUCAGUAAUAGGGAAUAAUUAGCCCUUGAUUAGUGUUCUGGUCCUGCCCAACAAAACUUAACACAUAAGAUUUGAAGGGCUCGAACUGGUUUUUUCCCUUAAUAAUUAUUUGGCUGUGCCAGGUCUUAGUUGCAGCAUGAUCAUAGAUCUUUGUUGCAGCAUGUGGGAUCUUUGGUUGUG